CGAGCGAGAAUUCUUUUAAUGAACCCCCGGGUGAUUUAAAAGAAGGACAGCGGCGGGCGGGUGAGUAACGCGUGGGCAACCUGCCCUAUACAGAGGGAUAGCCUCGGGAAACCGGGAUUAAUACCUCAUAAAACUCUAAGAUCGCACGAUCAAUGAGUCAAAGAUUUAUCAGUAUAGGAUGGGCCCGCGUCUGAUUAGCUAGUUGGUAAGGUAAUGGCUUACCAAGGCGACGAUUAGUAGCCGACCUGAGAGGGUGAUCGGCCACACUGGAACUGAGACACGGUCCAGACUCCUACGGGAGGCAGCAGUGGGGAAUAUUGCACAAUGGGCGAAAGCCUGAUGCAGCAACGCCGCGUGAGCGAUGAAGGCCUUCGGGUCGUAAAGCUCUGUCCUAAGGGAAGAAUAAUGACGGUACCUUAGGAGGAAGCCCCGGCUAACUACGUGCCAGCAGCCGCGGUAAUACGUAGGGGGCGAGCGUUAUCCGGAAUCAUUGGGCGUAAAGGGUGCGUAGGCGGUUAUGCAAGUUAGAGGUGAAAGGCUACGGCUCAACCGUAGUUAAGCCUUUAAAACUGCACAACUUUGAGUGCAGGAGAGGAGAGUGCGAAUUCCCUAGUGUAGCGGUGAAAUGCGUAGAUAUUAGGCAGGAAAC
rnacentral:rRNA from 1 species